AUGACCUUCUUUAACGAGCCUUUCUACACCCUCUCCGACUUCGACCGGCUCUUCGACGAGGCGUUCAACGCCCGCGCGUCGGUCGUCCCCCGCGCCCAGAUGGAAAACGUCGCUACUAGGCCCAUGCGUCCUCGGAUGGACCUGCAUGAGGAUAAGGACCGGAACAUGAUGACCGCGCAGUUCGAGCUCCCCGGGCUCACCAAGGAGAACGUCAACAUCGACCUGCG
rnacentral:misc_RNA from 1 species